rnacentral:rRNA from 1 species
GUCGAACGAAGUAUGUUUUUCGGAAUGUACUUAGUGGCGGACGGGUGAGUAACGCGUGAAUAAUCUGCCCCAUACAGGGGGAUAGCCUCGGGAAACCGGGAUUAAAACCGCAUGAUGCUUUUUUAUCGCAUGGUAGAGAAGUCAAAUCGAAUAAGAGGUAUGGGAUGAGUUCGCGUCUGAUUAGCUGGUUGGCGGGGUAAGAGCCCACCAAGGCGACGAUCAGUAGCCGGCCUGAGAGGGUGACCGGCCACACUGGAACUGAGACACGGUCCAGACUCCUACGGGAGGCAGCAGUGGGGAAUAUUGCACAAUGGAGGGAACUCUGAUGCAGCGACGCCGCGUGAGUGAAGAAGGUCUUCGGAUCGUAAAACUCUGUCCUUGGUGACGAAAAAAAUGACGGUAGCCAAGGAGGAAGCCCCGGCUAACUACGUGCCAGCAGCCGCGGUAAUACGUAGGGGGCGAGCGUUGUCCGGAUUUACUGGGCGUAAAGGGUGAGUAGGCGGUUAUAUAUGUCAGGUGUAAAAAGCUAUGGCUUAACCAUAGUAAGCACUUGAAACUGUAUGACUUGAGUGCAGGAGAGGUAAGCGGAAUUCCUAGUGUAGCGGUGAAAUGCGUAGAUAUUAGGAGGAACACCGGUGGCGAAGGCGGCUUACUGGACUGUAACUGACGCUGAGUCACGAAAGCGUGGGUAGCAAACAGGAUUAGAUACCCUGGUAGUCCACGCCGUAAACGAUGAGUGCUAGGUGUUGGGCAGCAAUGCUCAGUGCCGAAGUAAACACAAUAAGCACUCCGCCUGGGGAGUACGUACGCAAGUAUGAAACUCAAAGGAAUUGACGGGGACCCGCACA